rnacentral:lncRNA from 1 species
CCAAAUUGAUCUUUUCCAUUCCUCACACCCACAAAGGGGCAGUUUGGGGUACAUAUAGGCCAACCAUAGGUAGGUGGCUUAGAAGCUAAGCAAAACAUCUUUAGAGCAUCUAAGUAGAUAAAAUGCACACAGUCACAUAAAUAGAUAAAUAGCACACACAACACACACAUAAUUUAGUCUAUCAUUAGGCUGCUCAAAAAAUGGUGGUGUUGACCUGUUUGGCUGGCUCCAUUCAUUCAACUCCGGACUGAAGUUUGGAGUUGCCAAACAGGUCCUAACGGCAAGAAAGUAAACGCCUCGGAUCAGGAAGAAGCAAAGAGCACUCAGCGACAAUUCCUCCAUUAAUCUGCAAUCUUCUUGUACACCACUUGCCCUUCUGCUGCCUGAGUCGAUCGCAGCAUCGAUGGCUGCUUUGAAUUUCACUCGUCUUUUCUUAAUGGAUGCUUUGCAUCAUCGUCACCAAUUCGAGACUUGCAAAUCUGUGGUGUUAGUUCUUUCCUGUGAAAUCAUGCCUUGUCCUGGUCGUCAGAAGGGAGCACAUCCAUGGCUCAAAUUUUGUCUAAAUUAAAUGGUGAAGUGAUGUCAGAUGAAGUAAAAUAAUGCAGGCUGUAACAAUUUGUAAAGAAAAAUGAUAGUGGAUGAUUGUUACACGUAUCAUUGAACUGUUUCACGCAUGGUUGUCAGGCUUACCAAAUAUACUGUAGCGGGUGUCUCGGACGAAACAUCGUGGCGCGGACUGAGAAAACGAUGUAGCAGCUAACCCUCGACCCAGUUUUUCUUUUGGCAACUAGGACCGGAAAGGCCGAAAGGAUCAAACAAAACGGAGACAGCAGCUUGUCCUGUUUGUCCUCGUGCUCUUUCUAGAUCAGACCCUGUUUGGCCCCUACUCUCAAGACACAAUUUAUGCCUCU